rnacentral:lncRNA from 1 species
CCCUCCUGAGUCAUCACCACUGCUUUUAGGACAUGUCAGUGUGCUCGUGUAGCUCAUGUUCUUCAGCCUGUACUUGUUCAAAAGGUGAUAAUCAAAAUUAGUAAAGGGACAAUCUGUGAACAAAUGUCACUAUGAUGAUGAUUAUAACACCACUCUUAAUUUCUCUUUGUUGCACUUUUCAACUUCUCUCAAAAUGCCCAUAAAAUGCUUCAAGUUGAAGCAGCUGAUGAGUUCUGACUCCUGCUCAUCUUUCAUUUUCUGGUCUGAUUGUUUCCUGCUGCCACCACUGCUUCCCCCUGUAGAAGAGGAUUGAAAGCCUGCUGAGGUACAGAGCUUUCCUGACUAUGUUCAGUGCUCCCCCAGGGCAAGUCACACUAAAAGCAAUAUUAAGGAACAAGGAUCUUGGGAUUACAGUGGUUUAAGGAACAUUAAGCAAUACCCUCCUUUAUCCUCUGCAGAAGACUUUCAAGCAAACUUUUCAGUGAGACAUUAGAGGACAUCAGCCCUUGUCCCUUGCCAAGGUGGGCUUGGAGGCAGAAAGCUGCAAGUACACAUUAAGAGAUUUCUGACCCAGAGCUCCUUGUUCCCUCCCUGAAAAGUCCAGUAGCUGGAAAUUAAAGGGAAGUGAAAGUACUUGCACAAGGAGAGAAAUGAAUCAUUUAUUUAGAGAUUAAAUAAGUGCUCAGUCACUUCAGAUCAAGCUGAGACCUCCACCUGGACAAUGAAGUGUGGUUUGGUCACAAAUGGAUAGGUCUGACAGUGAGGUGACAUGGUGCAGUUCUUUGUCUUGUAUGCAGCCUGUCAGAGGAGCAGCCUUUCUGACUUAAAGAAAUGUUCCUUCUACUUUACCUCAUGGAUCUGUGAAGCAUUUAACCAGAUAAAGACAGACAAAAAGCCUGGCAACAAGGUCUGUGGUGGGAUCUCCUUUCCCUGCCUUUCUCCUGCAGAUUUCCCAAUCUGCUACAGCUGAGUUAAUUUCCACCAUGGAUGCCACCAGAAUGUUGGAAUAAGGAGACUUCUAGCACACUCCCCAUCUUGAUAAGGCACCUGAAGUCACAUUGCAGAUGCACACUGCCUGUGCCACCAGGCUCUGCAUCCUCUUCCCCUGCCCUGGCCAUGGCUUCUUGUCAGCCCUGAUGUGCUGUAGGUGACUUUGGACCUCCCUCACCACUCUGGACUUGGGUGAUGCUCGUGGGACUCCUGGCUGAGCCUUGUUUCCAGCACCCAGCCCACUCUGCCCUCCUUGCCUGGGCACCCCAGGGCUGUGCCAGGCUGGGGAGGGCACUGCCCUGCUGCUCAUCUUUGCAGAUCAACCACUGACACCCAGUAAGAUUCUGUAAUUAUACUCAGAUUAGUAUUUUGUCAAGAAAUUCUCAAAUGUUUUUUAAGUAUUGCUCUGUGCAUAAAAUCCAUAUCAGAAAGAAGUGGUAAAUCGAGCAUUUCAGCCCAGAAAGGAGAUGGUUUUGUUUUCAACAGCAUACAUGUCAGUGCAU